rnacentral:misc_RNA from 1 species
GAUGAAGAACGCAGCGAAAUGCGAUACGUAGUGUGAAUUGCAGAAUUCAGUGAAUCAUCGAAUCUUUGAACGCACAUUGCACCUCUCGGUAUUCCGGGAGGUAUGCCUGUUCGAGCGUCAUUUGUACCCUCAAGCUCUGCUUGGUGUUGGGUGUUUGUUCCGCCUCUGUGUGUGAACUCGCCUCAAAACAAUUGGCAGCCGGCGUACUUGUUUCGGAGCGCAGCACAAGUCGCACUCUCUAUCAGCAAAGGUCUAGCAUCCAUUAAGCCUUUUUUUCAACUUUUGACCUCGGAUCAGGUAGGGAUACCCGCUGAACUUAAGCAUAUCAAUAAGCGGAGGA